GUUUAUCUCUCUAUCCCUGUUUUGUCUUGUUUGCCGGCUUACUGACUACUGUGUACCAGACCUUGGCUAGUUUUUGUUCUUGCAGUCUCUUUGUUCCCUUGACCUCGGCUUGUUCUUGACUCUGUCUAUUCUCUGCUAGACGGCGAGUCCGGCCAUUCUAAGGUCCGGUAAGUCGUAUCUGCUCUAUCUGUCGAUUGUUGGACUAAAUCUUGCGUGUUGGGGUAAACUACCGUGACAUUAC